rnacentral:rRNA from 1 species
GACGAAGGUGGCUAGCGUUGCUCGGAUUUACUGGGCGUAAAGCGCGCGUAGGUGGUCGUGUAAGCGGGGGAUGAAAGCCCAUGGCUCACCCAUGGAACUGUCCCCCGGACUGCACGGCUCGAGGAAGGAAGGGGAGAAUGGAAUUCCCGGUGUAGCGGUGAAAUGCGUAGAUAUCGGGAGGAACGCCGGUGGCGAAAGCGAUUCUCUGGUCCUUUCCUGACACUGAGGCGCGAAAGCUAGGGGAGCAAACAGG